rnacentral:lncRNA from 1 species
GUGUUUUGGUCUCCAGGAUGGUUCUCCUUUUUCAAACUUCUGAAAUUUUUUCUUUGGUGCUUCAUAUGCCUUUUUGUUGCUUAUGGCACCUCUUUCUUUUUCUUUUUCAUACUCCUCAGAAUUUAUGUACUUCUGGGCCUUUGUUAGCAGGUCUUCCAUGCAUUUCACAUUACUAACAUUUAGCUUUAUUGCUAAUGGUGUGUUCAUGUCUAGCCCUUU